rnacentral:rRNA from 1 species
CGAGCGGUAAUCGGAAUUACUGGGCGUAAAGCGUGCGCAGGCGGUGAUGUAAGACAGUUGUGAAAUCCCCGGGCUCAACCUGGGAACUGCAUCUGUGACUGCAUCGCUGGAGUGCGGCAGAGGGGGAUGGAAUUCCGCGUGUAGCAGUGAAAUGCGUAGAUAUGCGGAGGAACACCGAUGGCGAAGGCAAUCCCCUGGGCCUGCACUGACGCUCAUGCACGAAAGCGUGGGGAGCAAACAGG